rnacentral:rRNA from 1 species
CCAUUAGGAAGAAUCUGGAGACAGGUGCUGCAUGGCUGUCGUCAGCUCGUGUCGUGAGAUGUUGGGUUAAGUCCCGCAACGAGCGCAACCCUUGCCUUUAGUUGCCAGCAGUUCGGCGUGGGCACUACUAAAGGGACUGCCGGUGUUAAACCGGAGGAAGGUGGGGAUGACGUCAAGUCCUCAUGGCCUUUAUGACCAGGGCUACACACGUACUACAAUGGCCGGCACAACGGGAAGCGAGUUCGCGAGGACGAGCGGAUCCCUCAAAGCCGGUCGCAGUUCGGAUUGAAGUCUGCAACUCGACUUCAUGAAGCUGGAAUCGCUAGUAAUCGUGGAUCAGCCAAGCCGCGGUGAAUACGUUCCCGGGCCUU